rnacentral:tRNA from 1 species
GAAAAAGUACGCAAGAACUGCUAAUUCAUGCGUCCAUGCAUAAAAUCGUGGCUUUUUCA